UUGUGACUUCACUAUGUAAAUCUUUCCAGUCAUUCUUAAUGGUUAUAUGGUCUUUAUCUCCCCAUGACACUCCUCCCACCAUGUUAUUCAGCCUUCAGAUGGAAGGGACAGCCUUGAAGAUGCAUAAAUAAGCUAGAAAAUGUUUCUUCAGUAGAAAUUUCAGUAGAAACUUGGUAAAAUGAUCUCUUUACAACUUCCAUGAUUUUAUUCUCCAGGACAAUAUGGCAGGAUGGUUUUGAUACUUAAACUUUUGGAGGAUUAAAUUUGUGAAAACAGUAAGUAGGCUUUUAUUUUUACAUUUCACAUAUGGAGGCCAUGCACUUUCACAAUCCUUAAACUGGAAAAGAUUCACAGAGUUAAUCUACCCGAAUCAUUUAGUAGCCAUUCCCCUUACUGAAAAACAAAAUGUGUCACCAGAAUUGUUACAACAUCCAAAUAGUGAAAAGAGUUUACAGAUCAAACGCCUAAUCUAACUCCUUUAUUUUACACACGAGGAAGCUGAGGACCAAAGCAGCUACAGGACUGACCUGCCCAAAACCACACAGUGAGUCUGCAGCCCGGCUUCGGACCAGAGUUUCUUCUGACAAGAGGCAAGCUCAUUGAUGGCCACACCCGCUCAUCCUGGAUAACAGUAUUCCCCAGUGGAAUUAACACGAUGCAUCUUCCUGGAGCAUCAUUUUUACUUUAAGAUUUAAAAGCAAGCAAGCAAAUUAAAUAGUCAUUUAAAUCAUAUUUAUAUUAAGCCUAACAUGGCCAUAUUGUAGAGCAAACCAUCGGGAUUUAAUAAACAAAACAGGAAACUUCAAAGAAAUGCUUUUUCUUGGAAAGAAGGCAGGAGAGCAAGAAAAGCGACUGCCUCAGCCUUUAUCAUUCUCCAGACCAGUGCCAAGGAGCCAAAGAGAAGAAAUGAGAAUAACCAAGGUUUAUGAAACCUAUAUAAAAACCUGUGAAACCUACACAGUCUGUGGAUGGAAUGUGUACUACUCUAGGAAAUGAAUAAAUACGUUAUCAAUAGCAGGGGAAUCAGUUGCACUUAACGUGACUCAAAGUUAGGAAGUGUGGGGUUAAAAAAUGUAGGGUUCAUUGGAUUUUUUCUUUCCUUUUUAAAUUUAAAAACUUCAAGUUACCCUGGGAAAAAUGACCAAGAAAUAGUAGAAAAUAACCACUUUGCUUCAAAAGAUGUUUUGCAGCAAUUAGCCAAAGAAGAAGCCGUAUCCUCUGCAAGACAUCCUACUCUGUUGUGUGCAGUAGGGAUGGCUGUUCCUUGACCCCUCUCACUCACCUACCUCUGGCGCUUUGUUCAGGGGGCAGAGGCAGAGCGAGACCCUUUUGGUAAAUUUAUCCUGUUGGAAUAGCAAAUGGAGAAUGCUGUAAUGCAUUCACCCUUUCCUCUAUCCAUCCAUCAAUCAUUGUAUUAAUCAAUCAAUUGAAAAGCCUGUUUAAGCAUCUCUCUACAGCCUAUUAUCCACACUGAGUCAAAGAAACAUGGCUUCUAUGCUUUGCAGUUUGUAGUUUAAGAGAAAACAACAAUGGAGGUAGGCACGGAGGAUAAAUAGACAACAGGUAAAACACUGAACAAGUAUGUGAAAUGAAAAGAAUGAUAAUAUUAACAUUGUCAAUCAAUUAACAGGUAGUUAUGCUGUGGUAAUUACAUGCUCAGCACUGGGUUUGGGUGUUCUCCAAGUUAAAUAGCUAAAAAUCGGAAGAAUUUUUUUUUUAUUAAUUACAGUUUUAAGUUGAGAAACUAAAGAAGUUUACUUUCCACUCUGCAUAAAGCCUUGUGGAGGCAAUAGGAUGGGAAUGAAAGGAGGUUGUGUGUUCCCACUUUGGUACUUGUUGAAAAGAAUAAAAUAGCUAUGAUGGGAGAGUGAACAAGUGAUGGUUGAGACACUUGGAUAACCUUAAAAUCACAAAAGUGCAGAGUUGGAAUGGGCCUGAAAAAUCAUUUUUUCAAUGCUUCCCACGGUACCUAAAAAUUGAGGCAAAUUCAGAGGUUUGUUUUGUGAAUAAGAUGUUGGUCAAGUAGGCAUGAGAGGAGCCUGCUAAGGGACACAGAAGGAG
ensembl:lincRNA